rnacentral:rRNA from 1 species
GAAUAUUGGACAAUGGGCGCAAGCCUGAUCCAGCCAUGCCGCGUGUGUGAAGAAGGCCUUCGGGUUGUAAAGCACUUUUGUCCGGAAAGAAAGGUUCUCGGUUAAUACCCGGGGAUCCUGACGGUCCCGGAAGAAUAAGCCCCGGCUAACUUCGUGCCCGCCUCCGCGGUAAUACGAAGGGUGCAAGCGUUACUCGGAAUUACUGGGCGUAAAGCGUGCGUAGGUGGUUUGUUAAGUCUGAUGUGAAAGCCCUGGGCUCAACCUGGGAAUGGCAUUGGAUACUGGCGAGCUAGAGUGCGGUAGAGGGUAGUGGAAUUCCCGGUGUAGCAGUGAAAUGCGUAGAGAUCGGGAGGAACAUCUGUGGCGAAGGCGACUACCUGGACCAGCACUGACACUGAGGCACGAAAGCGUGGGGAGCAAACAGG